rnacentral:rRNA from 1 species
GACGAACGCUGGCGGCGUGCCUAAUACAUGCAAGUCGAACGAGAGCAACCGGUUCUUGCACUGUUCUCUCUAGUGGCGAACGUGUGUGUCACACGUGGAUCACCUGCCCAUCAGAGGGGGAUCUCAUCCGGACACGGAUGCUAACACCGCAUAGGUCUUCGAUCCGCAUGGUUUGAAGAGGAAAUUAGGCGCAAGCUUCUGCUGUUGGAUGUACCCGCGUUGCAUUAGCUAGUUGGUGUGGUAACGGCUCACCAAGGCCGUGAUGCAUAGCCGAACGGAGAGAGUGAUAGGCGACAUGGGGAAGGAGACACGGACAAAAGGACUAAGGGAGGCAGCAGAAGGGAAUGUGAGGCAAUGGACGCAAGUAUGACGGAGCAACGCAGCGUGAGAGAAGAAGGUGUUCGGAGCGUAAAACUCUGUUGUGAGAGAAAAACAAGUGCUAGAGUAAAUGUUAGCGGCGUGACGGUAUCUAACAAGAAAGCAACGGCUAACUACGUG